rnacentral:piRNA from 1 species
UGGUGUACAUAAAUGUCAGUAAGCCCAUA